rnacentral:rRNA from 1 species
GACAUGGGUGGCAAACGUUAUCCGGAAUUAUUGGGCGUAAAGGGUGCGUAGGUGGUUUAAUAAGUUAUUGGUGGGAAAACGGGGCUCAACCCCGUGGAAGCUAGUAAUACUAUUGAACUAGGGGAUCGGAGAGGUUAACGGAAUGGCUCGCGUAGGGGUAAAAUCCGUAAAUAUCAAGCGGAACACCGGUGGCGAAGGCGGCCUUCUGGACAGUGACUGACGCUGAGACGCGAAAGCGUGGGGAGCAAACAGG